GCGACUGGGUGACUCUCAACUCUGGGCGCUCGCGGCCGCGGGCUUCGGCGACCGCCGCCCCUGCCCCUUACCGGCGCCGCAGCCAGGUGCGCUGCCGUCAGGUACGGCCUCGCCAGGUACGCCCUCCUUGGGCCUCCUCCACCUUCCACUCCCGGGAGCUCGCGGCCCUUUCCCCUCUUGACAGGAGGCCGGGCAGGACUCGCCUGUGCCCGGCUGCGUGACCACCUCCCCCUGCCGCAGGUGGCCCUGGACGCGCCGGGCUGGGGCCGCCUCUGAGCGCCCCGCGGGGGCCAUGGAUGUCGAGACAGCGCCCCCACCAGGUGCACACUGCGGACCUUGCUCAGCCGGCACUCCCGCCCUCGGGAGGCGGCGGGAGCCCAAGAAGUACCCAGUGACCGAUGACUACCAGUUGUCCAAGCAGGUGCUGGGCUUGGGUGUGAAUGGCAAGGUGCUGGAGUGCUUCCACCGGCGCACCGGGCAGAAGUGUGCCCUGAAGGAGCCCAGUGUUUCCUGCCAGACCCCAGCCGGGGACUACCAGCUCCUGUAUGACAGCCCCAAGGCCCGGCAGGAGGUGGACCACCACUGGCAAGCCUCGGGCGGCCCCCACAUUGUGCGCAUCCUGGAUGUGUAUGAGAACAUGCAUCGCGGCAAACGCUGUCUCCUCAUCGUCAUGGAAUGCAUGGAAGGUGGUGAGUUGUUCAGCAGGAUUCAGGAGCGUGGCAACCAAGCUUUCACUGAGAGAGAAGCUGCGGAGAUCAUGCGGGAUAUUGGCACCGCUAUCCAGUUUCUGCACAGCUGGAACAUUGCCCACCGAGAUGUCAAGCCUGAAAACCUGCUCUACACGUCCAAGGAGAAAGAUGGGGUACUCAAGCUCACUGAUUUUGGCUUUGCCAAGGAGACCACCCACAAUGCCCUGCAGACUCCCUGCUACACUCCCUAUUAUGUGGCUCCUGAGGUCCUGGGUCCAGAGAAGUAUGACAAGUCAUGUGAUAUGUGGUCCCUGGGCGUCAUCAUGUACAUCCUCCUAUGCGGCUUCCCGCCCUUCUACUCCAACACGGGCCAGGCCAUCUCCCCCGGGAUGAAGAGGAGGAUCCGCCUGGGCCAGUAUGGCUUCCCCAAUCCUGAGUGGUCGGAGGUCUCUGAGGAUGCCAAGCAGCUGAUCCGCCUCCUGCUGAAGACAGACCCCACAGAGAGGCUGACCAUCACACAAUUCAUGAACCAUCCCUGGAUCAACCAAUUGAUGGUGGUGCCACAGACUCCACUCCACACAGCCCGAGUGCUGCAGGAGGACAAAGACCACUGGGAUGACGUCAAGCUUUCUAAGCGGGGAUUAUGCCCAUCUCACAGAUGAAGUCACUGAGGCUUGAGUAGCAUGGGGAUAAAGUGCCCAGUUUCCUCCAUGUGAGUACAAUUACCUCGAGGGAAAAGUGGUAACUCUUGGGCCUCUGCACUUUCUCCCCUCUGUGUGGGACUUCCUGGACCGGCCAAACCCAGCCCUCCAAGGAUGGGAGUGGAUCCUGAAGCAGUGAAAAUCAACACAGGUGUGGUUCUGACAUGGAUUUGAGAGCUGGAAUGGAUGAAUAGAUAGAACCUGGGAAGGUCAGAGCUGGAAAGUGCCUUACUGCAUUUAACUCCCGUUUUAUACAUGAGUAAAUAGAGGCUCACAAGCCAGCCUCUCAGCCUGUCUGUCCCCCGCACGAAGCCGCCCUGUCUGCUAGCUUCCCUGGCCUCAGAGUUCCCUCUCAGGUCUUCGUGGCUCUCACGUGCUGCAGAGCUGUUUUCCAUUUUUGCUUGUUCCUAAAUAGGACUUUAUCAGUGGCUGUGCCUGGGCCCUCCAUGGCUCUUAAUUAGGCUUCCUUGAGUUUCCUUUGCAGAGGCCUUUGGGUGAGGGGAGUGUUAGUGCUUGGCACCCGGAGUGGUGUACAGGGCGCUGCCUGUAGCCUGGAGAGAAGGGCGUGUGUGCAGGGAGGCUGGUGCUGAGGGCUGCCAGUGCAUAGAGAGCCUGGAGGCAUGAAGGGUGGGGCUUUCAGGCCCCAUCUCUGCCCUGUGCAGGUCUGCUGGAGCCCAGGGGGCUUCGAGUCUGAGACCUCUGGCUCCUGGCUGGCUGCUGAUGAUCCCCUCUUCUGCCGCUCCGAGGACUGGGGCUGCCUGAAGGCUGGACACACACAAGGGAUUUCCCGGCUGUGCCCUGAGGAUGGGGAGGGGCUGCAGCUGUGGAAAUGUUGGGAGCCAUGGCCCAUUUGAUCUGGAAUCCCCACUCUCUGGCUGGAGAUGUGACUUCUCUCUCAGGCUCCUUCUCUUCUUCUGGGUGAAGACCAGGAUGUCGUCACAGAAUCAGGGCUGUGGAGGUCAUGCAUGAGAGGAGAGUGGGGGCUUUGCUUGGCCUUGGGGCUCGAUGGGACUUCUGGAAGGUCAGAGCCAAGAGGGCACGGCAUGGCCCUGGGAGUGGUCUUGCGGCCUCUGUGGGCUGGGGAUGCGGGGUGCGGCUGGGGAUGGGCAGAGAGGCGGGGGGCAGCCUUAAGUGCCCUGCCUAGGGUGGGAUAAUAAAUGCCAGGCUGAGUGUGGACACUGCUCUAGAGGCAUCAGGGAGCCAUUGGAGGCCUUUGGGCUGAAGGGAGGUGACAAGCUGGGAGGUUUGGAGCAGCUUCACCUGGGGGUUGGGAAUGAUGAAGCAGGAGUGGAGGAACUCAUUGGACCCUGUCUCCCGGGCUCAAGUGGCAUGGCCUCCGGGCAGGCGCCCCUCUGCAGGGGUGACUGGAACUGUGGCUGGAUGCUCAGGGACAGCUCAGGGUGACUCCCAUGUAAGUCACCAUCAGUUCCUGGAUCACACCCACCCUUGUUUAGAGUCUUCUCAACAUGCUCUCCUCGGGACAUUCUUAAACGAGUCCCAGGUCAGUUGUCUAGAAAAUCGGAGCAGUUCUCAUGCUGCCAGCCCUGUGGGUUGCCCCUGCCCUGGGAUUUCCUGUCCUGUGGAAGGAGGAAGAAAAACUCACAUUAUUGCCACAUGGAUGCCAGAAACCUCAGUUCACGUAACCCUGGCAGCACUCCUGAGAGGCAGGUGCUCUUCUACCCAUUUUCCAGCUGAGACCUCCCUGAUGACCCAGGUCUGCUCAGUAUCCACAGUCCAUGCUAGUCCCAUGACCCCAGAGUUCCUCUGCCCCCAGCCCUGUCAGAACUUCCCUGGGGCUUCUAACUUGAGAACCUGCCUCAGCGUGAAUGGCACCUACUUUACUACAGGCUCCUUGAGUGAUGCUGCUACACAACUUUGGGGACCUUGGCCCCAGCUGGCUACCCCUAGUGGUCUCUCACUGGCAGUGGAUGCCAGCCCCACGGGGCUACCAUGGCUUCCCCACUGCUCAGGAAGCCCUCAGGAUUCUCUCUGUGCUAGAAAAGAGCUCAAAAAAGUAGACCAUAUCCUUGGGGUAGUGGGAGAGGAAAGCCUCCGCUACUGCCCUCUCCCCCAAAGUAUCUUCCAUAACUUCCAGACUUAUCUCCAUGGAUGUCACGGUCCUAGAUCUGGCACUGCCUAUUCCAGGUUCUGCAGAAAGUUGAAGGUCAGCCCCUCUUUCCCGGUAUAGAGAAGGGCUUUUGGUGUCAGGAAACACCUGGAGCUGGAGCUGGGGUCCGGCUGCUGUGCAUGAUCUUGGACAAGUUUCUUCCUCUCUUUGGAAUCUCAAUUUCCUUGCUGUAAAACAGUGAUGCUCACAGGGUUAUCAGGAGGACUCAGAGUCUGCUGCUUCAAGAGUUGAGGUAUACCAACUGAGCUGGAGGGAGUGGUGGGCCCUGGACCAUUUAUAGUGUGAAGAGGGUAGCAGGAGGUGGAGGGGAGGAGGCAUUUGAUCUGACACAGAGGGUCGGGGCAGCCAGGAGGCCAGAGGCUCCUAUGACCUGCCACGGCUUUUGCAGUACAGACAUUGAAGGUUGUCUGCCACUUAUCCAGAAGAGUUUCUAAGAAUCAAAAGUUUAGGGUCCAGGGAGCCAGAAGAAAACAGUGUUGGGAGGCCAGCAGCCAGCCUGGAAGAAGGAGAGUACAGGUGGAGGAGGAAGGAGAUGGAUUCCUUUUCUCCAAAGGCCACACAUGCACUCCUGAACAUGUCAUCCCUCAGACUUUGGGUAUUGGGAAGUCAGUCUCCCACCGGCUGCCUCCAGGACCAGUUGACAGGGAUGAGAAAGCUUCAGAUUUGGUGAGGGCCAAGGGCCACCUCCCAAGCACAAAACAAACCCUCAGGGUACCACCUGGUCCUAGGCCCAAGGAUGGAAAGCCUUCAGCCCCCUGUUCCAGCCUCAUCCCCUGGCAGUGUUGGUUCAUCUGCCCAAGCACAGAUCUGUACCUACUCCUGCUUUCCAGGGCUGAGACUCUGAGUCCAGUAGUCAAGGCCUGGCUUGGACCUGAUGAAUGAAUCAGAUCAAAUACAUGCAGUUUUCUCCUAGGCCUGAUUUAUUUAUCCAACCCCUCCAGACCACAUCCACAUUGCAUCUGAGUCCAUACCUUGGUUUCCAUAAGGAACAGCAUUGGGUCUAUGAUGGGCUUUAAGAACAAACCAUAGGUUUGUCAGUUGGCCACCGUUAGAGUCAAACAAGUAGCUCCCAAAGUUUGAUUCUUUGGUAUAAUUUAUAUAAAGUAAAAUCUUAAAUGUAAAAUUAAAUAAUUUUAAACUAAUGUAUAUACCCAUGUAACGAGGAUCCCAGUCAGGAUAUAGAACAUUUCCAUCACCUCAGAAAGUCCCCAGUAACCCCCCAUUCCAGAAUGCUGAUCUGAUUUCUAUCAUCAUAGUUAAGCUUUGCCUAUUCUAGAAGUUCAUAUAAAUGAAAUUAUACAGUAUGGAAGUAGAUAGCUUUAUUGUGUCUGGCUUCUUUUGUUUCAUUUGCGAUUCAUCCAUGUUUUUGCAGUAACAGCUCUUUCCUUUUUAUUGUUCCUUUUUAUUGCUGUAGAAUAUUCCAUUUUAUGACCAUACCACAGUUUGGUGGUUAUUUGAUUCCAGUUUUUGGCUAUUAUGAGUAAAGCUGCUAAGAACAUUCAUGUAUAAGUUUUUGUGUGGACAUUAUGCUUUCAUUUCUUUUGGGUAAAUACUUAAGACAAAUGGCUAGUUAAUACCUAGUGAAAUUUCUGGACAUACAUUAAGUGUAUGUUUAACUUUUUGAGAAACUGCCAGAUUUCAAAAGUGGUUGUAUCAUUUUACAUUCCCACGAGCAAUUUAUGAGACUUCCAGUUACUCCAUGUCCUCAUCAACAUUUGGUAUUAUCAGUCCUUUUUAGCUUAGCUAUUCUGAUGUAUAUGUAGUGUUAUUUCAUUGUAGUUUUAGUUUGCAUUUUCCUGAUGACUAAUGAUGUUGGGGACUUUUUCAUGUGAUUAUUGGCCAUUGACAUAUCUGUUCAAGUCUGUACCUUAUUUUCAAACAUUGGGUUGUUUAUCUUUUUUAUUAUUGACUUGUGGGAGUUCUUUAUAUAUUCUGGAUAUAUAUCCAUUGACAAAGGAUAUGAGUUGGGAAUGUUUUCUCCUACACUAUGGCUGACCUACUCAUUUUCUUAUGAUUUGAUGAGCAGUUUUAAAUUUUUUUGAAAUUCAAUUUAUCAUUGUUUGCUUUUAUGAUUAGUGUUUUCUAUGUCUUCUUUAAGAAAUUCUUACUUAUCCCAAAGUUGCAAAGAUAUUCUUCAAUUUUUUUUCCUCUCCUAGAAUCUGUAUAAUUUUAGCUUUUACAUUUGGACCCAUGAGCCAUCUGUAAUUGAUUUCUGAAUAUGGUGAGAGCUCAAGAUUGAGAUUUAUAUUUUUCCAUAUGGAUAUCUAGACAGCAGCAUUCUUGAAGAAAAAUAAAUAUUUCUUGCUAUGGCACUCUUAGAAAAAAACACUUGCUUGUGUAUAGUUCUGGACUCUAUUCUCUUUCAUUGAUUGUCUAUAUAUUUGCCAAUACCAUACUGUCCUGAUUACGUUCAAUCCAUCAACAUGGCAUAUCUUCCUAUUUAUUUAGGUCUUCUUUAAUUUUUCUUAGCAAUAUUUUAUAGUCUUGCACAUCUAAC